rnacentral:rRNA from 1 species
GCGAAAGCCUGAUGCAGCAACGCCGCGUGAGCGAUGAAGGUCUUCGGAUCGUAAAGCUCUGUCCUCAAGGAAGAAUAUUGACGGUACUUGAGGAGGAAGCCCCGGCUAACUACGUGCCAGCAGCCGCGGUAAUACGUAGGGGGCUAGCGUUAUCCGGAAUUACUGGGCGUAAAGGGUGCGUAGGCGGUCUUGCAAGUCAGAGGUGAAAGGCUACGGCUCAACCGUAGUAAGCCUUUGAAACUGUAGGACUUGAGUGCAGGAGAGGAAAGUGGAAUUCCCAGUGUAGCGGUGAAAUGCGUAGAUAUUGGGAGGAACACCAGUUGCGAAGGCGGCUUUCUGGACUGUAACUGACGCUGAGGCACGAAAGCGUGGGGAGCGAACAGGAUUAGAUACCCUGGUAGUCCACGCCGUAAACGAUGAGUACUAGGUGUCGGGGGUUACCCCCCUCGGUGCCGCAGCUAACGCAUUAAGUACUCCGCCUGGGAAGU